rnacentral:rRNA from 1 species
GAUGAACGCUGGCGGCGUGCCUACUACAUGCAAGUCGAGCGAAGCGGGGACGGGUGCGUAACACGUGGAUAAACUCCUAUACGACUGGGCUAACUUAGGGAAAACGGUACUAAACCGGAUCCUUAUCGCUGGAUCCGCGCUGCAUUAGCUCGUGGGUAAGGUAACGGCUUAACAAGGCAACGAUGCAUAGCCGACCUGAGAGGUUGAUCGGCCACACUGGAACUGAGACACGGUCCAGACUCCUACGGGAGGCAGCAGUAGGGAAUCGUCCGCAAUGGGCGAAAGCCUGACGGAGCAACGCCGCGUGAGUGAUGAAGGUCUUCGGAUCGUAAAACUCUGUUAUUAGGGAAGCGGUACCUAAACAGAAAGCCACGGCUAACUACGUGCCAGCAGCCGCGGUAAUUC